GUGCUCAUUCCGGCAGCACAUAUAUACUAAAAUUGGAACAAUACAGAGAAGAUUAGCUUGGCCCCUGCACAAUGAUGACAUGCAAAUUCAUUAAGUGUUCCAUAUUUUU
rnacentral:snRNA from 1 species